AUUGAACGCUGGCGGCAUGCCUUACACAUGCAAGUCGAACGGCAGCACGGGAGCAAUCCUGGUGGCGAGUGGCGAACGGGUGAGUAAUAUAUCGGAACGUGCCCAGUCGUGGGGAUAACGUAGCGAAAGCUACGCUAAUACCGCAUACGAUCUAUGGAUGAAAGCGGGGGAUCGCAAGACCUCGCGCGAUUGGAGCGGCCGAUAUCAGAUUAGGUAGUUGGUGAGGUAAAGGCUCACCAAGCCGACGAUCUGUAGCUGGUCUGAGAGGACGACCAGCCACACUGGGACUGAGACACGGCCCAGACUCCUACGGGAGGCAGCAGUGGGGAAUUUUUGGACAAUGGGCGCAAGCCUGAUCCAGCAACGCCGCGUGCAGGAUG
rnacentral:rRNA from 1 species